UACGUAGGGUGCAAGCGUUGUCCGGAAUUAUUGGGCGUAAAGAGCUCGUAGGCGGUCUGCCGCGUCGGAUGUGAAAAUCCAGGGCUCAACCCUGGACCUGCAUUCGAUACGGGCAGACUAGAGUUCGGCAGGGGAGACUGGAAUUCCUGGUGUAGCGGUGAAAUGCGCAGAUAUCAGGAGGAACACCGGUGGCGAAGGCGGGUCUCUGGGCCGAUACUGACGCUGAGGAGCGAAAGCGUGGGGAGUGAACAGG
rnacentral:rRNA from 1 species